CCCAUGUCUUUUGAGUACUUACGUUUCCUCGGCGGGUCCGCCCGCCGAUUGGACAAAAUUAAACCCUUUGCAGUUGCAAUCAGCGUCUGAAAAACAUAAUAGUUACAACUUUCAACAACGGAUCUCUUGGUUCUGGCAUCGAUGAAGAACGCAGCGAAAUGCGAUAAGUAGUGUGAAUUGCAGAAUUCAGUGAAUCAUCGAAUCUUUGAACGCACAUUGCGCCCCUUGGUAUUCCAUGGGGCAUGCCUGUUCGAGCGUCAUUUGUACCUUCAAGCUUUGCUUGGUGUUGGGUGUUUGUCUCGCCUUUGCGUGUAGACUCGCCUCAAAACAAUUGGCAGCCGGCGUAUUGAUUUCGGAGCGCAGUACAUCUCGCGCUUUGCACUCAUAACGACGACGUCCAAAAGUACAUUUUUUACACUCUUGACCUCGGAUCAGGUAGGGAUACCCGCUGAACUUAAGCAUAUCAAUAAGCGGAGGA
rnacentral:rRNA from 1 species